GCGAGGGAGGAGUGUUGGAGAAGAAGACGGUGGAAGAGCAAGUGGACUGGGGGAAAGUGCCCUGGUGGAAGAGAUGAGGGGUAUGGUGGAGGAGCUGGCGGGGGGAGGGUGGUAUCUCUCCACUGCCGCCAUCACCAAAGAAGAGAAUGAAGAGGAGGGCACGGGAAGCAAGUGGACUGGGGGGAAAGUGCCCUGGUGGAAGAGAUGAGGGGUAUGGUGGAGGAGCUGGCGGGGGGGGAGGGUGGUAUCUCUCCACUGCCGCCAUCACCAAAGAAGAGAAUGAAGAGGAGGGUGCGAUUGGCCGACAGUGAGAGGGAGGGGAUGGCCAAGAGAGUGAUGGGGGUGGGAGAAACCUCUGGGUUGCUGCUGGUUUCCCCAGGCCCUCAACUUCUGUUGGGUGGGGACACACAUAACAAGACUCAAGACUGGGUACAGGAGGAGGUGGGGAGUUUUUUGUUUGGGGACUCCCCGAUUUUUUUCCAAACCAGCUGCAGCACUGGGGAGGGGGAGGAGUGUGGGGAUAGACCCAGGGUGCAGGGCACCCCGGAGCCAAACACUAUUCCUGCAUCCUGGGUUGAUGAGAUGGAGGAAGAGGGGGAUGUCGGGAGUACAGAUGGUGUUCUCACCGGUAGAUAUGGAGCAGGGGAGCAUCGGGUGAGUCUCCUGUUUUUGUUUUUUUUCUGUCUGGGUUUAGAAUUUGAGUGUAUUACAUGAUUUUAUUUUAUUUUUUCAUGGCAUCUAAUUUUACUUUUGUUAGUUUAAAUGUAAGGGGUUUAAGGGAUUUUGUUAAGAGGAGGGCGGUUUUUAGUUAUUUGGAGGUUGUGGGGUUUGAUUUUUGUUUUUUACAGGAGGUUCACCUGAGGGAUGGAGGGGAUGUUAGUAAGUUUAAGAGGGAGUGGGACAAGGGGGAGUCGGUUUGGGGUAUUGGGGGGGUGCACUCAUCGGGGGUAGGGAUUUUGUGUGGGCACAGGGAGGUAAAAGUGGAGGAUUCUUUUGUGGUAAUGCAGGGGAGGGUUAUAGGGGUGGAUGUCACAAUAAGGGAUUGUAAAUUUAGAUUAGUGGUGGUGUAUGGGCCACAGGUGGUGGCAGACAGGAGGGAGAUGGUGGACUGUCUGACGCCCCUGUGUGUCACAAAUAGGAAAUUAGUGAUAGGGGGGGAUUUUAAUACAGAUUUAGGAAUAGGGGGAUAGCAGUGCAGGCGCCAUUACCAGGCUAAUGGCUUGCCAUGGUCUGGUUGAUGGUG
ensembl:lncRNA